UGUCCUACGGGAGGCAGCAGUGGGGAAUAUUGGACAAUGGGCGCAAGCCUGAUCCAGCCAUACCGCGUGGGUGAAGAAGGCCUUCGGGUUGUAAAGCCCUUUUGUUGGGAAAGAAAAGCAGCCGGUUAAUACCCGGUUGUUCUGACGGUACCCAAAGAAUAAGCACCGGCUAACUUCGUGCCAGCAGCCGCGGUAAUACGAAGGGUGCAAGCGUUACUCGGAAUUACUGGGCGUAAAGCGUGCGUAGGUGGUUGUUUAAGUCUGUCGUGAAAGCCCUGGGCUCAACCUGGGAAUGGCGAUGGAAACUGGGCGACUAGAGUGUGGCAGAGGGUAGUGGAAUUCCUGGUGUAGCAGUGAAAUGCGUAGAGAUCAGGAGGAACAUCCGUGGCGAAGGCGACUGCCUGGGCCAACACUGACACUGAGGCACGAAAGCGUGGGGAGCAAACAGGAUUAGAUACCCGAGUAGUCCUG
rnacentral:rRNA from 1 species